rnacentral:rRNA from 1 species
UACCAGCACCCCGAGUGGUCGGGACGAUUAUUGGGCCUAAAGCAUCCGUAGCCGGUUCUACAAGUCUUCCGUUAAAUCCACCUGCUUAACAGAUGGGCUGCGGAGGAUACUAUGGAGCUAGGAGGCGGGAGAGGCAAGCGGUACUUAGUGGGUAGGGGUAAAAUCCGUUGAUCCAUUGAAGACCACCAGUGGCGAAGGCGGCUUGCCAGAACGCACUCGACGGUGAGGGAUGAAAGCUGGGGGGGCAAACCGG